CAAAACUUUCAACAACGGAUCUCUUGGUUCUGGCAUCGAUGAAGAACGCAGCGAAAUGCGAUAAGUAAUGUGAAUUGCAGAAUUCAGUGAAUCAUCGAAUCUUUGAACGCACAUUGCGCCCUCUGGUAUUCCAGAGGGCAUGCCUGUUCGAGCGUCAUUU
rnacentral:rRNA from 25 species